UACAGCUAGAUUCCUUCCUGCUUGCAUUGACUCUCCGCUCUGAACAGCAGGACAUCUAUCCACACUAAUAUAAGAAAAACAAGAACAAGUUUUCACUGAAAGAGUCUCCUCUCCUAAUUCAUUCAGACUUUCUGGAAGAAGGUAAAGAACAAUCCUGACCAGGACUAUUUUUCCAAUGUAAAUUUCCAUGGCAGCUUUCCACCUGCAGGAUGUGGACCUUGCACUUGGAGCAGGAGUUGCUGGAGGAGCUGGCCUGUUAGACCAUCUCAUACAUAGGAGAGAUCAGAAGCAGCCUGGCCAACAGAUGCAUUCUUAUGGCAGAACAAUUUAGCAAAUCUUUCUAUGAGUCUGAUGACAGCAAUUGCUUUGUUUCUUAUGUGUGGACUAUA
rnacentral:lncRNA from 14 species